AUUGAACGCUGGCGGCAGGCCUAACACAUGCAAGUCGAACGAGUGGCGGAUGGGUGAGUACUGUCUGGGAAACUGCCUGAUGGCGGGGGCUAACUACUGGACACGGUAGCUAAUACCGCAUACCAUCGGAUGUGCCCCGAUGGGAUUAGCUAGUAGGUGGGGUACAGGCUCACCUAGGCGACGAUCCCUAGCUGGUCUGAGAGGAUGACCAGCCACACUGGAACUGAGACACGGUCCAGACUCCUACGGGAGGCAGCAGUGGGGAAGAUUGGACAAGGGGCGCAAGCCUGAUGCAGCCAUGCCGCGUGUAUGAAGAAGGCCUUCGGGUUGUAAAGUACUUUCAGCGGUGAGGCGUUACCCGCAGAAGAAGCACCGGCUAACUACGUGCCAGCAGCCGCGGUAAUUC
rnacentral:rRNA from 1 species